rnacentral:rRNA from 1 species
AUUGAACGCUGGCGGCAGGCCUAACACAUGCAAGUCGAACGAGUGGCGGACGGGUGAGUAAUGUCUGGGAAACUGCCCGAUGGAGGGGGAUAACUACUGGAAACGGUAGCUAAUACCGCAUACCAUCGGAUUUGCCCAGAUGGGAUUGGCUUGUAGGGGCGGUAACGGCUCACCUCGGCGACGAUCCCUAGCUGGUCUGAGAGGAUGACCAGCCACACUGGAACUGAGACACGGGUCGAACUCCGACGGAAGGCAGCAGUGGUGAAGAUUGCACAAGGGGCACAAGCCUGAUGCAGCCAUGCCGCGUGUAUGAAGAAGGCCUUCGGGUUGUAAAGUACGUUCAGCGGGGAGGCGUUACCCGCAGAAGAAGCACCGGCUAACUCCGUGCCAGCAGCCGCGGUAAUAC